UAACAUUUAGCUCAUUUGGUUAGAGCAUCAGCCUUUUAAGCAGACGGUAGUUAGUUCGAUUCUAACAAUGUGA
rnacentral:tRNA from 1 species